AUCUAACUGACGAGUCACAAAUAUGACGAAACGUCGUUCAUGGAU
rnacentral:hammerhead_ribozyme from 1 species